UCUUCGGAGAGUUUGAUCCUGGCUCAGGAUGAACGCUGGCGGCGUGCCUAAUACAUGCAAGUCGAGCGAACUGAUUAGAAGCUUGCUUCUAUGACGUUAGCGGCGGACGGGUGAGUAACACGUGGGCAACCUGCCUGUAAGACUGGGAUAACUUCGGGAAACCGAAGCUAAUACCGGAUAGGAUCUUCUCCUUCAUGGGAGAUGAUUGAAAGAUGGUUUCGGCUAUCACUUACAGAUGGGCCCGCGGUGCAUUAGCUAGUUGGUGAGGUAACGGCUCACCAAGGCAACGAUGCAUAGCCGACCUGAGAGGGUGAUCGGCCACACUGGGACUGAGACACGGCCCAGACUCCUACGGGAGGCAGCAGUAGGGAAUCUUCCGCAAUGGACGAAAGUCUGACGGAGCAACGCCGCGUGAGUGAUGAAGGCUUUCGGGUCGUAAAACUCUGUUGUUAGGGAAGAACAAGUAC
rnacentral:rRNA from 1 species